UCCGUCGUGGUGUAGUGGCUAGCAUUUGAGACUCUCAUCUUUCAAAAGUGAGGACUCUCAGAACCCGGGUUCAAUUCCCGGCGACGGAA